GACGAACGCUGGCAGCGUGCUUAACACAUGCAAGUCGAACGGUGAUCUUGAGAGCUUGCUCUUGGGUGAUCAGUGGCGAACGGGUGAGUAACACGUGAGUAACCUGCCCCUGACUCUGGAAUAACUUCGGGAAACCGAAGCUAAUACCGGAUAUGACACAGAGCCGCAUGGUUUCUGUGUGGAAAGUUUUCGGUUGGGGAUGGACUCGCGGCCUAUCAGCUUGUUGGUGAGGUAAUGGCUCACCAAGGCGACGACGGGUAGCCGGCCUGAGAGGGCGACCGGCCACACUGGGACUGAGACACGGCCCAGACUCCUACGGGAGGCAGCAGUGGGGAAUAUUGCACAAUGGGCGAAAGCCUGAUGCAGCGACGCCGCGUGAGGGAUGAAGGCCUUCGGGUUGUAAACCUCUUUCAGUAGGGAAGAAGCGCAAGUGACGGUACCUACAGAAGAAGCACCGGCUAACUACGUG
rnacentral:rRNA from 1 species